CCCUUAGAUGUCCUGGGCCGCACGCGCGUUACACUGAUGCAUUCAACGAGCUUAUAACCUUGGCCGAGAGGCCUGGGCAAUCUUGUUAACGUGCAUCGUGAUAGGGAUAGAUUAUUGAAAUUAUUAAUCUUGAACGAGGAAUUCCUAGUAAACGCAGAUCAUCAAUCUGCAUUGAUUACGUCCCUGCCCUUUGUACACACCGCCCGUCGCUACUACCGAUUGAAUGGUUUAGUGAGGACUCCUGAUUGGCGCCGCCGCCCCGGCAACGGAGCAGCGGACUGCCGAAAAGUUGUUCAAACUUGAUCAUUUAGAGGAAGUAAAAGUCGUAACA
rnacentral:rRNA from 1 species